rnacentral:rRNA from 1 species
GAUGAACGCUGGCGGCGUGCCUAAUACAUGCAAGUCGAGCGAACAGACGAGGAGCUCGCUCCUCUGACGUUAGCGGCGGACGGGUGAGUAACACGUGGAUAACCUACCUAUAAGACUGGGAUAACUUCGGGAAACCGGAGCUAAUACCGGAUAAUAUAUUGAACCGCAUGGUUCAAUAGUGAAAGACGGUUUUGCUGUCACUUAUAGAUGGAUCCGCGCCGCAUUAGCUAGUUGGUAAGGUAACGGCUUACCAAGGCGACGAUGCGUAGCCGACCUGAGAGGAUGAUCAGCCACACUGGAACUGAGACACGGUCCAGACUCCUACGGGAGGCAGCAGUAGGGAAUCUUCCGCAAUGGGCGAAAGCCUGACGGAGCAACGCCGCGUGAGUGAUGAAGGUCUUCGGAUCGUAAAGCUCUGUUAUUAGGGAAGAACAAAUGUGUAAGUAACUAUGCACGUCUUGACGGUACCUAAUCAGAAAGCCACGGCUAACUACGUG